rnacentral:tRNA from 1 species
GGCGCUGUGUCUUAGUUGGUCAAAGUGUCUGUAAACAGGAGAUCCUUGGUUCAAAUCCCAGCAGUGCCU